CUAGGAAGCUUCGCCAGGCGCUCCCGGGCACUCUUGGCUUCUCCGCCUUUAGGCGAGGCCUGGUUGACCGACUCUGGCGAGUCGCUGCCCUCUCGGAGCGCCGUAGCUCUGAGAUGCAGUUCACACCGCGGCCCUUCCUGGGGCCCACUCCAAGGCUACUGGAUCAGGACCCCCAGUCUGGGGCCGGGCAUUUUCAAAUUAAUCAACAGGCUCUACGUGGUGGCUCAUGCCUGUAAUCCCAGCGCUUUCGGAGGCCGAGGCAGGAGGAUCGCUUGAGGCCAGGAGUUUGAGACCAGCCUGGGCAACAUAGCAAGACCCGGCAUGCCCAAGAGCUUGCUAAAGUUUGAGAACCGUGGUUCUACGGAGUUUCUCAGAGAGCCCCUAGUGGAAGUGGGCCGUCAUUGACCAGAGCAGCAACCAGCUCAAUCACCCACCCUUUACUUGUUUUUCUUUGUCUCACACUUUCCACUUCCUCACUCGUGCACUCCGAGAUCAGCUCCAUAUUCAAUUACCUGCACCCAAAUCCUCGUCUCAAGUUUCCUGGAUUGGCAUCUGCAGGUGAGACUGUAGUUCUCAGCUUUGACCGUGACCUCACCUCGGGACCACCUUCUGGUGUUUGCCUGCUCACCCUGUAGCACUCUCCAUCCACCGUGCUCCCCUUCUGGGCCUGAGGACACUGCUGACCUGCAUCUGACAGGGAACACGGGCCUCUCUAAGAAGAAAAGAGAUUCGGAGAAACAAGAACACCACGUAACCGCGGAGGCAGAGAUUGAAGUGCUGGAGGCACAGGUCAAGGAAUGCCAAUGAUUGCUGGCAACCACCACAAACUAGGAGAGAUGAAUGGAUUCUCAGAGCCUUUAGAACUAUGAGAGAAUAAAUGUUGUUUUAAGCCAUGAAACUUAUGGUAAUUUGUUAUGGAAGCCCUGAAAAAUUAAGAUAGCAUAAAAAUCAAUUGCUGUAUGUGAUCAAACACUGAAUGGGCUAGGGUGAGCCAGUG